GGGCGAGCACGCAACGCCGGUGCCAAUGCGUACGUGCGGGCAAUGAUGAGACGCGGGGCGACGUGUGAUGCGCGGCGGCCAACCCGCGGUUACGUUCCAGACGAUGAUGACGGUGAUGCUGACGGGGGCGGUGGUACAGCUGUUAUUGUCAAUCGCGCGGGGUAUAGCUUGAGGAACCAUGCAGAUCAAACGAGAAGAUGAUCAGAUCAUCAGAGAAAGAAGCAUGAGUUAGUUAAAAC
rnacentral:lncRNA from 1 species